AAUAAUUGUGGGGUCAUUCCUAAUUUAGAAGUGUAACAACUAAUCUGAGACAAACGAAAAAGGAAAGUGUUCCGGUGAGAACACUUCUUUACAUGAGAAUACAUUUUGUAUAUGAGAACAAAUCCUGGCCCUUGAAACUGAUACAUCUCAACAGUUAAUACGUUCUCUUCAUACAACUCGAUUCUCUUCCCACUUUGCCCUCUCAUUUUCACGACAUUCUUUUUCCUCCAUCUCCAUUGAAGCUUCUUCUUCAAGCUUCUUCCUCCAUUAAAUCUUCUUCUUCCUAGGUUCUUUCGAGGUUUUUUUGAGCUUCUUUCUCCAUUAAAGGUCGUUCUGAACUUUGUCUUCUCUAUUUCUCCUCCAAUUGCUCAUUCAGAAAACCCUAAAUCAAGUGUUUAGAAAGAUAUUAAGUUCAUAAAUGUACCUAUGGAUCGGUAGGUUAAAGACGGGUAGCAUUUUUCUGAAGAUGAGCUUCAGCUUCUCUGCAAAUUGGUAAAAAUUAUGAAAUUGUGAAGAAAUAUUGGAAGAAUGGCGAAAAACGAACCAAAAAAGAAGAGGAGGCUAAGCUAACUCGAGCCAUCACAAGCGAUCAUUCUUUGGAAGUUGCACAAGUAAGAGAAGAAUAAGGAAUGCAAGUUAUUGUGAGGAGAGAGAGUGAGAAGGUCAAGACAUUUUCCAGAAUGUCCCCUGCCACUUUGUAUAAGCUACUUGUGGGUAAUAGGAACUUCAAGGGUUUGACUGAAAAACAAAAAGAUGAUGUUCAUGCAAUAGGAUUUGGUAGAUUAUUAGAUCUACUGAUAGAAGAGUUGCCAUGGGAUCUCUGUCGGUGGCUAGUUAAAUUUUUUGAUCAUUUUCAUUCCUCUCUUCUUUUGGAUACGGGUAAAAUGAAAAUAACAUUAGAUGAUGUUUAUGUUUCUUUGGGAUUGCCAAGAGGUGCAAAAAAGGUUAUUGAAGCAAAGGCUAGGGAUCCUAGUGUUGAGUAUACAAAAAUUGUUAGCGAUUGGUUUCAUAAUUUAGGAGUUAACAAUACUGUGAAAGUGGGGGAUAUUGUGAAGAAUAUUAAGGUUCUGGUGGAUGGAGGGGAAAUAUUUAAGAGGAGCUUUGUCGUUCUUGUAGUUUCAACAUUGUUGAAUGGAAAUAAAAAUGCUAAAGCAAACUACAAGAUAUUGAAAUCUUUAGGGGAUGUUAAUGAUGUUAAGGACAUGAAUUGGUGCCAAUACACAUUAGAAGCUCUAUGUGAUUGUAGUAGGGAAUGGCACGCCGAAAAUGGAGAUGGUUUGUUUAAAGGGCCUCCUAUAGUUCUACUGAUUUGGGAGUGAAGGAAAGACUUCUUCAGAAAUGGUGGCACAAAUAAGUAGUCACAUCUCUCAGAAAAAUGAAAACGAGUUCCUAAAAAAAUCGGAGAGGAAAUAUGUUGAUGAGAUUCUUGAAAUGCAGGAGGUUUGCAACUGUGUGACAUUAGCCACUAUCGACUCUAUUGAGCUUGAGAAUAGUUGGUUCUACCUUGCAUGUAAGAAAGACUACAAGAAAGUUCAAGAUCAAAAAAUUGAUGAGCUAACGAAGUUUUGGUGCGAAAAGUGCAAUAAUUAUGUAGAUCCUGUUCCAAGGUUCAAACUUCAAGUAAGGGUGAUGGAUGAAUCAGGAAGUGCUUCAUUUGUUAUUUUUGAUCGCGAGGUGGUACAAAUCUUAGGAAAGUUUGCAUUGCAUAUAAGAGAAUGCCGAAUAAAGAUUGUUCCUAUAUAUGUUACUAUAUACGGAUAUUUCAUGAAAUGCCCUUAAGUUUUUCCAUAAUUCACCAAACGCCCAUCAAGUUUCAAUAAUUCAUAAAAUACCCCUCACAAUUCGUACAAAUACCCAACAUACCCUUACUAAUAACGGACCGUUAGUCUGCCGUUAGCCAAGUUUUCUAUUCACCCAAAUGCCCCUAUUCUGAAACUUAUUUCACCAAAUGCCCCUAUUGUGAAACUUAUUUCACCAAAUGCCCCAAACUUAAGUAUAGCUAUUUUGAUGUUUCAGCGACUAGUUUUUGUGUUUGAAAGGUAGCUAUUGGUCACGGUUGACUAUAAAAGCCCCUUUGCUGAAUGGUUCUUGAAAUUUGUCAUUCGAAGCUUUGAUACAACACUCAAUCCACAAAGGUUGUACUACAAGUGUGAUCCUUGAAACAAUCUGAGAUGGUGAAAGGGAGUAGUUGAGCAAAAAAACAAGGGGCAACAACACGAAGGACAAUGCGGGGGAAGCUUAGGCGAAGGAGAAAGUAUUGAAAACAGGCGAAACAGUAAGAUGCAAGAAGAAUUGAAGCAAAUGAAGAAGAAGCUAAAACAACAACAAAAAGUAGUCAAAGUUGUAAUACAAAUGGGGAUAUUGAUGUUUGUAAUUUUACUGUUUGUAAUCAUGAAGUAAACACAAGUAAUGAGAAACAAAUUCACAUUUCAUAAAUAA